ensembl:lncRNA
CCCGGAGCGCCUUAUAUGGCGGGGGCGGGGGGCCCGGCUGCAGGCUGAGCCCUGCCCGGGCAGCGGGUGCGGGAACCCGCGGGGUGCUGGCUCCGUGUCCUUCUGGGGACACACGGAGCGGAGAGACGGGGAUGUCCGAGGAAACCCCAUCCCGCCAGAAGGGAGGACCAUAGCAACCUUCCCGGCCACGAAAGGUGACGCGGCUGUGAAGGGACCCGUUUGCCUCUCUGGGGGAACAGGGGACCCUCGUGAAACAGGAGACGAAAAAACAAAGCCCAUCUCACUGCCCCCACGCCAUCCCCCGCCUCCCGGGAGCCUGAGCAAGGAGAAGCUGAUUAAUUCUCCCGGGUCGCCCCGGCAAUCCCUGGGGCCGCUCCGCUUUGCCGCCGUCCUGCAAACCCUGCUCGGCUGCAGCCCAGAAGGAGGAGGAGGAGGACGACGAGGAAGGGCAGCGCCCAGGCGGCAUUAGUUACAAGCACCGCCGUGACAGUGCUCCUGUCUGAGGCUGCAGGAAUAGAGCCAACAGCGAGAUCACCGGGCGCUGACUUUUCUUGGGGCGUUUGCAGAAAUGUACAAAUACGGGGCCUGCCGGUUUCCAUAAACAACUUUCAGGACACAGUCAAUCAAUCACGCUGGCAAGCAAGCAGACCAGGAGCCUAGGAUAUAUACAAGGCAUAAAUAUAUAUGUAUAAACCCUGUCAAUUCUGGAGUAGUUACAAUUUUUUUUUCUAUAAGCCUAAGGGAAACCAUACCUAGAAAGAUUCUGACAAGUCAGGAAAUCACAGUGGAAAAGUAGAAGGUAUUGUUAGAAAGUUAUGGUACAUUGUGUGUUUUAAUACCAGCAACAGAAAUAUUGGGAAACAGAAAGGAAAAAGUGUCUAAGCAAGUCAAAGAUUUAUAAAAACCAUAAAACAUUAUGCUUACAGUCAGAGAGACAACUUCAAAAAUAUGUGGCCAAAAACAUGAAACCUGACCACUUUAAAAUAAAAUGCAAUAGAUCUAUUUGUAAAGGACA